CCUACGGGUGGCAGCAGUGAGGAAUAUUGGUCAAUGGGCGCGAGCCUGAACCAGCCAAGUAGCGUGAAGGAUGACUGCCCUACGGGUUGUAAACUUCUUUUAUAAAAGAAUAAAGUGAGGCACGUGUGCCUUUCUGUAUGUACUUUAUGAAUAAGGAUCGGCUAACUCCGUGCCAGCAGCCGCGGUAAUACGGAGGAUCCGAGCGUUAUCCGGAUUUAUUGGGUUUAAAGGGAGCGUAGAUGGGUUGAUAAGUCAGUUGUGAAAGUUUGCAGCUCAACCGUAAAAUUGCAAUUGAUACUGGCAGCCUUGAGAACAGAAGAGGUGGGCGGAAUGCGUGGUGUAGCGGUGAAAUGCUUAGAUAUCACGAAGAACUCCGAUUGCGAAGGCAGUUCACUAGACUGCAACUGACGCUGAGGCUCGAAAGUGUGGGUAUCAAACAGGAUUAGAUACCCCGGUAGUC
rnacentral:rRNA from 1 species